rnacentral:rRNA from 1 species
GUAGGGAAUAUUGGGCAAUGGAGGCAACUCUGACCCAGCCAUGCCGCGUGCAGGAUGACGGCCCUCUGGGUUGUAAACUGCUUUUAUACGGGAAGAAAAAAUACUACGUGUAGUAUACUGACGGUACCGUAAGAAUAAGGAUCGGCUAACUCCGUGCCAGCAGCCGCGGUAAUACUGAGGAUCCAAGCGUUGUCCGGAUUUAUUGGGUUUAAAGGGUGCGUAGGCGGAUCUUUAAGUAAGUGGUGAAAGCCUGCAGCUUAACUGUAGAAUUGACAUUGAAACUGAAGAGCUUGAAUGUGGUUAAAGUAGGCGGAAUGUAUCAUGUAGCGGUGAAAUGCUUAGAUAUGAUACAGAACACCGAUAGCGAAGGCAGCUUGCUGAACCAUUAUUGACGCUGAGGCACGAAAGCGUGGGGAGCGAACAGGAUUAGAAACCCGGGUAGUCC